AUCCCUCACUGAACACAAUGGCCUUUCCCACUGCAGAGGGGACAACCAACAUGUCACCCUCCAUCACUCCCUGCCUGAACAUUCUCUGGAAGAAAGCUCUGCAACUUGGUCUUUGAACUGCAAAGCCCACUAGACUCCUCAAGGGAGAGAUAGAAAACCCUCAUAGAGUUUUUUUGGAGGAAAAAAAUUGUGAAUGUUAGGCAAGGUACCUGCAAGAGCACCAAGUCAGAAGAUAAGCUGCUGGUUGUGUGAAAUUGUGCCAGCAUGGCCACUCAAAUUUAAAAGAGGGAGGAUUAGAAAACACAUCCCUGGCUUUGGAUGCAGGUGGCCUCUUACCACGUCAGAAGCAAUGCACCUGAGCACACCUCCCCUGGGUUUUGAGAAGAGCUGGAUGCUAAGUCCAGGCUGACACCCACACCAGGGGCUUGUGGCUGGCCACCAGCAAGUGGGGAAAUGUCUGCCAGCCCAGCUGGGCCUGCUGCGGUGAUCCAUCCUCAGCUGGUGCAGACGCCUGCGAGGGAAGGUGUUGCCAGGUGGAAUGGGGCCAUCCAGCAACAGGGCAGGGGGCAGGCAAGGGUGAGGAGGGCCCAUGCCCCCUCAAGGCCAGAGGACAGGGCCUGUCUGCAUGGCUGUCCCUUCUUGCCUCCAGCUGUGUUCAGUCACAAGCACAGACUGUCCCCAUGAACCAUCAGGAGAGUUCCCUGAGAGUGGGUGUGCAGGGCAUCCCGCCCUGCACAUAGGCUGGCAGUACCAACAGCUGAAUAAAUCUAUGUAAUCAUU